GGAAUGGAGUUGUAAUUUAGAGAAGAAGCUUUGGGUGUGGCAGCUGUCCAAAUGCAUUGGAAAGUGCUGUCGUAGAGGGUGAUAGCCCCGUAGGUGAUGGUCUUGUCUACAUCCAUAUAAAGCUCUUUCGACGAGUCGAGUUGUUUGGGAAUGCAGCUCUAAGUGGGAGGUAAAUUCCUUCUAAAGCUAAAUAUCAGCCAGAGACCGAUAGCGAACAAGUAGAGUGAUCGAAAGAUGAAAAGUACUUUGAAAAGAGAGUCAAAAAGUGCGUGAAAUUGUUGAAAGGGAACCGCUUGCAACCAGACUCGCGCCGUCGGUUCAUCCAGGCAUUUUGCCAGGGAGCAUGCCGAUUUCGGCGCGGGCCAGCAUCGGUUCGGGUGGUGGCAUUCGGGCGCUGGGAACGUGGCUCUUUCGAGAGUGUUAUAGACCUACGCUUUCCGCUGCCUGGCCCGGACCGAGGAACGCAAUGUUAUAUUACGGAUGUUGGCGUAAUGGUUGUCAGCGACCCGUCUUGAAACACGGACCAAGGAGUCCAAUGUCUAUGCGAGUAUUCGGGUGUCAAGCCCCGGAUGCGCAAUGAAAGUGAACGAAGAUGGGAUCCUUCUUUUCUACGGAGGGGGAGGUGCACCAUUGACCGAUCUUGAUGUUUUCGGAUGGAUUUGAGUAGGAGCAUAGCUGUUGGGACCCGAAAGAUGGUGAACUAUGCCUGCCUAGGCUGAAGUCAGGGGAAACCCUGAUGGAAGGUCGCAGCGGUUCUGACGUGCAAAUCGAUCGUCAAAAGUGGGUAUAGGGGCGAAAGACUAAUCGAACCAUCUAGUAGCUGGUUCACACCGAAGU
rnacentral:rRNA from 1 species